AAUGGAUCUUUGCCUAAAGGGCGCUUAGACCAUGCUUCUAGGCGUUGCCCAAGGAUGGGGCCGCGGCCGAUCAGGUUGUUGGUGAGGUAAUGGCUCACCAAGCCUUUAACCGGUACGGGCCGUGGGAGCGGGAGCCCGGAGAUGGGCACUGAGACAAGGGCCCAGGCCCUACGGGGCGCAGCAGUCGCGAAAACUCCGCAAUACGCGAAGGCGUGACGGGGUCAUCCCGAGUGCCGUCCGCUGAGGAUGGCUUUUCCCCAUUGUAGAUAGCUGGAGGAAUAAGGAGAGGGCAAGUCUGGUGUCAGCCGCCGCGGUAAUACCAGCUCUCCGAGUGGUGGGGAUGUUUAUUGGGCCUGAAGCAUCCGUAGCCGGCUCGGCAAGUCCCCAGUUAAAUCCAACGAUCUAAUCGUUGGACUGCUGAGGAUACUGUCCGGCUAGGGGGCGGGAGAGGUCGACGGUAUUCCCGGGGUAGGGGUGAAAUCCUAUAAUCCCGGAAGGACACCAGUGGCGAAGGCUGUCGGCUAGAACAUGCCCGACGGUGAGGGAUGAAAGCUGGGGGAGCGAACCGGAUUAGAUACCCGGGUAGUCCCAGCUGUAAACGAUGCAGGCUAGGUGUUAGGGCGGCCACGUGCCGCUCUAGUGCCGCAGGGAAGCUGUUAAGCCUGCCGCCUGGGGAGUACGGCCGCAAGGCUGAAACUUAAAGGAAUUGGCGGGGGAGCACCACAAGGGGUGAAGCUUGCGGUUUAAUUGGAGUCAACGCCGGAAAUCUCACCGGGGGCGACAGCAGGAUGAAAGCCAGAUUAAAGGUCUUGCCAGACGAGCUGAGAGGAGGUGCAUGGCCGUCGCCAGUUCGUGCCGUGAGGUGUCCUGUUAAGUCAGGCAACGAUCGAGACCCGCAUCUCCAGUUGCUACCAGCCAUGUGUUGGGCACACUGGGGAGACCGCCGCCGAUAAGGCGGAGGAAGGAGCGGGCCACGGCAGGUCAGUAUGCCCCGAAUCUCCCGGGCCACACGCGAGCUGCAAUGGCAGGUACAAUGGGUUCCAACUCCGUAAGGAGGAGGCAAUCUCUAAAGCCUGCCGUAGUUGGGAUCGAGGGUUGUAACUCACCCUCGUGAACAU
rnacentral:rRNA from 1 species